rnacentral:lncRNA from 1 species
AUGCCACCAGACCACAUUACACCCUUGAAUAAAGCAACAAUUCAAAACCACGUUGGACAGUUAGAGUUUUUUUUAUUGUCCGUACACUCAUUACAUUUUUGCUUCAAGACAAUAGCACAGAUACUGCUAGCUAGCUAUGAACAUGUUUCAUCAAGUAACGUUAGCCUAUAUAUAUAUAUAUAUAUAUAUAUAUAUAUAUAUAAAAAUAACAAAUACCCCUCUCAUACGAAUUAUAAAAGUGCAGUAGUCCUACCUUACAACAUUAGCUUAUCAAAGUUAAGAACAAACCAAGCUUCAUUUUUAUCAAUAUCAUGCAGAUCAUUACAUGUGGUAAAAGGAAAUUGUGACUGAAAACAUAGGUAAUUCACUGGGGAGUUCGAUCAGCUGCUUGCUGGCCAAAUGUAUAUUAUUUGUUCACAAUCACCUCUCGCCCAAGAAAAAAAAUCAGCUCGGACGAGAUGCUCCUGACAAAUUAAGUGUCGGGUAUUUAUGAAUACAUUAUCAUCAUAUUGGUUCAAGGAUCUUUCCAUUUUUUCAGGAUUGUUUUUAAAUGAACAUGAUAUGCAGCAACAACACAUUUCGUCCAGCAAUAAUUCAAGCCAUGAUGAAAUUAAAUUAUCCUUUGGAAUUUGCGAUUCAGGUUAGGGAUAGGCUAAUUUGAGUGAUUUGAACUCCUUGCUUUUGAGAAUCUAUGGUAGUGUAAAACGCUCUAAUCCACACACUCAGCAGUUUACAAUCCUUCUGUUUGUUGUGGGAGAGCAUGUGACCCAAGGUUUGAGAGAGAGAGAGAGAAUUUGAGCCUUAUGCAAAUGUCAAUUGGUUAUAGUUGAAAAAGUAUAAAUGGUAUCAAAAAGCUGAAUACAAUCACCCUAUUGUGCCAGUCCGGUCAGCACAUUUUAAAGUUUGAAUGGCGUUUCUAGCCAUAACGGUUGAAAACUACUUAUGGUCCAAACUUUUACCAUGUCAUAUUAUGACCAUUGUAAUGCAUUGUGAUUUGUGCAAGUACUUUUGUAGUGUGAAAAGUAUUAGUAGUUUCAAAACGUUUUUUUUUUUCAAGCAAGUUGUUUUGGUGUUGGUAGAUUUGAUGGUUUUGGUGUUGGUAGAUUUGAUGGUUUUGGUGCUGGUAGAUUUGAUGGUUUUGGUGCUACAGGUGGUAACGGAAUAAUAAUACAUUUUGUUGAAAUGAUGUGGAAACAACAUUGAUUCAACCAGUGUGUGUCUUGUGGGAAGUAUGAGCAAGCACACCUAAUUAUUCAUGUAGACAGUUUACUUUAUUGAAUAAUUAACCAUUUUGGAGUUUAGACAAUGGUUCUGAUUAUAUCUAGUUGAUUUCCUUGCACACAUUCAGUAACAAAUAAAAACAAAAUAUUUGUGUCAAAACUAAAUAGCCUACUGACUGACAGGUAAUCAUUUCAGGUGUGGUGAUCCUCAGGUGAUCAUGAGGAUGUGUUCGGCAUAUCUGUCAAUGUCAUACUGUCCUAUAGGCCUACAGUUCAAUCAUGUCCUCCCCUUCCUCCUGGGCGAACAGAUAUGUGGCAAAAUUGAACAAAAACGCCUUAAUCUUAUGCCCGUUUGACACCCACCAUGCUUUGUACAUAGCCUCCCCAAACAGCACAGACAGGAAGAUGAUGACGAAGAUGAGAAAGCAGCGGUCAGUGUAGUAGGUAAUCUUCUCCCUGCGGGUCUUCUGGUCCCAGGGCAGGGCUUGGCGGGCCUCGGCAUAGCGGCUAAAGUGUAGCAAGGCAUCCUCCUCCUCAGCCGUCUCCCUCUCAUGCUCAGUAACUCCGUCUCCUUGUGCCAUCUCUUCAAGACUUCCUCUAUUGGGCGAUUCUAUAUAUCCCUUCACCCUAAACCCUCUAGUUCAGGAUUUCAACGUUCACAAAACUAACAAAUAAUUUGAGAUGGAGAGAAAUGCAGAGAGUGGUGAUUAUAGUUUUAGAGCAUCCAUGCUGCUUGUGUGUCCCUCGUGAAAAUUGGUAUCCAGUCUGUCGAUUAGCACUCUUGGAUCUCUGGUAACUUAGCGUCCAUUGUCAACUCCUCCUCCUGUUGUUGUCUCUGUUUUCUGAAUCGACGAGAAACAGUCUUGAUGUCUCCUGUGUGUUAUUCUGUCUGGUUUUCUCCCUGUGUUAGACUGGCUGAAGGGAAUAAAGUGCCAGGCUGAUUAGUUAAGUCAGGACACUUCACUAAGAAGAUAUAGGGGAUUAAGCCACACUCAGCAGUUUACAAUCCUGUUUGACCCAAGGUAACAGAUUGUAAAAGAGAGAGAGGGGGAGGGGAGAGGGAGAGAGAAAGAGAGAUCAUUAAAUUGGAAAAUUGGCUUUUGUCAGUCAAGUCAGUGUCCUCUUAUACAGACAGUUAGCAUGAUUGAUAGGAGCACAAUCCCUCUUGCAUCAGUAUCAUCUCUCCCAUGUCCUGUCAUGGAGUCUUUCAGCUGGGUAGACUGUCCAUUUCUAACAGCUCCUUCUAACAGAUCCAUGCAGGACCUAAGCCACACAAGGCUGCGGGGCUAGACGGAUUACCAGGACGUGUGCUCUGGGUAUGUGCUGACCAACUGGCAGGUGUCUUCACUGACAUUUUCAACAUGUCCCUGAUUGAGUCUGUAAUACCAACAUGUUUCAAGCAGACCACCAUAGUCCCUGUGCCCAAGAACACAAAGACAACCUGCCUAAAUUACUACAGACCUGUAGCACUCACGUGCGUAGCCAUGAAGUGCUUUGAAAUGCCGGUAAUGGCUCACAUCAACACCA